CACAUAUAGCUAAUUUUUCUUACCUUUUCUUUGCAGGAGGGUGGCUGGGGCUGAUGGGAGUUGGCUGGAUCUCCCGUCCUCGCGACCUGUCUCUUCUCCCUACCGCGCGGAGGGAGCUGGGAGGAAGUAACCGGCUGUCAAUUCCUCACAGCACUACUUGCGGCUGCAAUUUUUUAAAGGGGUCCGGUCGCGCUAUUACGCGGCCGCAUUGCUGACCAGGCUCCUG